ensembl:snRNA U6 U6 spliceosomal RNA
GCUAACUUGCUUUGGUAGCACACAAAAUUGGAAUGAUACAGAGAAGAUUAGCAUGGCCCCUGUGCAAGGAUGACAUACAAAUUCAUGAAAUGUUCUGUAUUUUU